GGGUGAGUGAUGAUUUGGACAGGAGUUGGGUAAGUGUAGAGACUCACCUAGUUCCUGGGUUGGUCACCGAAAUGGAAGAGGAAGAGUGGAGUGCUACCAGAUUCAGGGAACAGGGAGCUCCUCCCUGCUUGGGUGUGUCUACCCCAAGCCCACAGGUGCAGGCGGGGGCAGGGGGCAUCUGGGUGAGUGAUGUUUUGGGCAGGAGUUGGGUAAGGGCAGAGUCUCACUCACCUAGUUCCUGGGUCGAUUGGCGGAAAGCUAAUCUCUCCUAUUCUCAUGUGCAUUCAGCACUGGAGAAACAAGCUGACUUGCUGAAUAUUGGCCUAUAUGUCUUAUUAGCUGUGAAUGUAUUAAUUCACAUAUUGUCAUUCCUCAGGAACAAAGGGAAGGACAUGCAAGCUUUAUGUAAGGAAAUUCUAGAAGGAACAUUAUGAGCUAAGCAGGCAGUGGACAAUGAUGAAUUAAAGAAUGUUUCAGAGGCGUUAGGGGUUAGGCAGGCAUUGGACCGUGAUGAAUUAAAGGAUAUAUGCAACCAACUAAAAAUAGUCAAAUAGUCUCUCUCUCCUAUUCCUUUGUUACUAAGGUAUAAGAUACCCAGAAUAGGCUUCAACAAUCGGAUAAUGCCAUUAAAUCAAUGGCUGGAAAAUUCGAGAGAGACUAUGGUAGAAUUAGAGCUGAGUUUCAAAGCUUACAAGAUGAAUUACAGAACAGAGAUAACAAACUAGAAGUAUCUAUCAAGUCGAUUGCUGAGGCAAAUCACAACCUUGAUUCUAAGUAUCAAUCUCUGGAUGGCAGUCUCCGCACCACCCAGAUGCUAUCUAGGGAUGAAUGUAUUACCUUUCUAGAAAACCUUACAGAAGAAUUGUCACAGCAAAUCAUGGAUUCUAUAUCAUGCCUUGAAUCUUUCAUGAUGAAUGAGAUUAAAACCUCCCAUAAGGAUGUCCUGGCCAGGCUGUAGGAUCGAAUUGAUGAAGAGGAGGCAGACUCGCUCCAAUCUGAGGUGCCUACUCCAAGCAGGCAAACCACAAUCAACCAUCUGAAUUUUCAUUUGAAAAUCUGGAAACCACUGUGAAUGAUCUGUUUGGUGCUGGGACAGGGACAACAAGCACAACGCUGAGAUAUGCUCUGCUGCUCCUGCUGAAGCACCCACAUGUCACAGAAAAUAUCUUCCAUGUGUUAAUCAGAAUGGGUGCAAAACAUCCACCCAAGGCAGGAUCAUAGAGUUUUAAGACUGAAUAGAAGCAUGAAACCCUUCA
rnacentral:lncRNA from 1 species